rnacentral:rRNA from 1 species
CUACGGGUCGCUGCAGUGGGGAAUAUUGUACAAUGGGCGCAAGCCUGAUGCAGCCAUGCCGCGUGUAUGAAGAAGGCCUUCGGGUUGUAAAGUACUCUCAGCGGGGAGGAAGGGAGUAAAGUUAAUACCUUUGCUCAUUGACGUUACCCGCAGAAGAAGCACCGGCUAACUCCGUGCCAGCAGCCGCGGUAAUACGGAGGGUGCAAGCGUUAAUCGGAAUUACUGGGCGUAAAGCGCACGCAGGCGGUUUGUUAAGUCAGAUGUGAAAUCCCCGGGCUCAACCUGGGAACUGCAUCUGAUACUGGCAAGUUUGAGUCUCGUAGAGGGGGGUAGAAUUCCAGGUGUAGCGGUGAAAUGCGUAGAGAUCUGGAGGAAUACCGGUGGCGAAGGCGGCCCCCUGGACGAAGACUGACGCUCAGGUGCGAAAGCGUGGGGAGCAAACAGGAUUAGAUACCCGAGUAGUC